rnacentral:rRNA from 1 species
CACGUAGGCACCAAGCGUUGUCCGGAUUUAUUGGGCGUAAAGAGCUCGUAGGCGGUUGAGUAAGUCGGGUGUGAAACUCUGGGCUUAACCCAGAGCCGCCACUCGAUACUGCUCUGACUUGAGUACGGUAGGGGCAGAGGGAAUUCCCGGUGUAGCGGUGAAAUGCGUAGAGAUCGGGAAGAACACCAACGGCGAAAGCACUCUGCUGGGCCGAAACUGACACUGGAGAGACGAAAGCUAGGGGAGCGAAUGGG